AAGCCGAGCCACCUAUAUUUUAUGUAUAAAUGUCAAUUAGCAUGUCAUAGGUGUGAAUGAAACAGAACAAUGCUGUUUGUUCUUAUUAUUUUUGAACGUGUCAAUAAGAUAAAAACGAUAAACGUCAAAUGGUUACCUUUGGUCAUCUUAUAAUACUAACAAUUUAAAAAGUACUAUCCAAGGUGUCAAAAUUCAUGACUCGUAUCGUCAACAUAAUUUUGUAGUUUUAUGAUUUGUUGAUACGGAUCGUGCAUUGUCCAUUGAAAAGUGAGAAAAAUUUAUUAAUUUCACUUUGAAAACGUGGUCUGGAACUAUCAAUGUGUGGUGAAAAGACAGUGUUAGUGUCUGGAUAAAAUGUCUUGUGUUGUUGACGGGUGUAAAGCCCAUAGUUCGAGGAAAGAAAAUGAGAAUGAAUCUUUCACAUUUCAUCGAUUUCCUAACGAUAAGGCUAUGAAGAUUAAGUGGAUUCAAUGCAUUAAUAGGCCCAAUUGGACACCAAAAAAGCACAGCCGAAUUUGUUCACAACAUUUUACCAAUGAUUCAUUUGUGCCAAAUGAAAAUAAGAAAAUGGAGACGGCUAAAAUCAGAUGCUAUUCCUACAUUAAAAAUACCCAAGGAAACAGCCAACUUCAUUGUGGAAACUUUACCACCAGCAGAAACAAAUUAUAGCCUGGUAGGACCGAGACAGAUUGUCAUCAUAAAAAAUAUAUUGGUACCGCUGAAAGAAAUUAACACACAAAACUACUUGUCCAUGCUCAGUUCAAAGACAGUGCCACCGAAAAUUGCAUUCCUCUUGAUAAAAUAACAGUUUUAAACUGUACUUCCGAUUAUAAAAGAGCUAUUGACGACAGCACCGAUGGUAGGCGGCGUUUAGAACCCGAGGUACACGAUGCCUUUGAAGAUAAUUUACAUACAGAGCACGACUAUAUUUUUAACCCGUCAUGUUUGUCGAAAUAUUCUAAAAAUGUUGUAGAAUACAUAGCGGGUUUUAUUGGAAUGAAAUUAAAGAAAACAUUAAAAUGCGAAAAAUGCAUAGAAAUUCUUGAAAAUACUGGGCAUAUUGCUGGAAAGUCGUUGAUAGAUAUAAAAAAUAGAUCAGACUUAUUUAAGCCAACAUGAGACUUAAAUAGAAUCUGUCAAGUCUAUGAAAAAAUACUAAGAGAAUAUCAAGUGCGAAUUGGUUCAAAAUGUCUCGGGCAACAAAGAAAUUUGUUACAGAUGAUCAAUAAAGUCUCAGCAAAAGUAUUUCCAACACAAUUUUUUUGUAAAUUACAAGACCAUUCAUUAGAACAAUUCUUAUAUGAUGAUCAUAAAAAUCUCCUCAUCAAGUCCAUUGCACAAAAAUAUUUUAAGAUCAGAAUUCAUUAUAUAACAAAAAAAUUGAGUGUACCUACCGAAAAGAUUCGCACAUAUUUAACUAAAAUAAUUAUAUUUAAA